UAUAAUUUGUUGUAUGAUGCAUAUGGAUUUUUGAUAUCUUUGGUUCUGGUUUAAUCCCAGGAAUUAUAA
rnacentral:tRNA from 1 species